AUUGAACGCUGGCGGCAGGCCUAACACAUGCAAGUCGAGCGAGCGGCGGAAGGGUGAGUAAUGUCUGGGAAACUGCCUGAUGGAGGGGGAUAACUACUGGAAACGGUAGCUAAUACCGCAUACCAUCAGAAUUGCCCAGAUGGGAUUAGCUAGGAGGUGGGGGAAUGGCUCACCUAGGCGACGAGCCCUAGCUGGUCUGAGAGGAUGACAAGCCACACUGGACCUGAGACACGGUCCUGCCUCCUACGGGAGGCAGCAGUGGGGAAUAUUGCACAAUGUGCGCAAGCCUGAUGCAGCCAGGCCGCGUGUGUGAAGAAGGCCUUCGGGUUGUAAAGCACGUUCAGCGGGGAGGCGUUACCCGCAGAAGAAGCACCGGCUAACUCCGUGCCAGCCGCCGCGGUAAUUC
rnacentral:rRNA from 1 species